UAUAUUAGUAAAAAUGAACCCACCUUACAUACUCUUGGGGUUUCGUUGAAAUGUUGAGAAGUUAAGAAACUUUGUUAGAUUAUUUUACUUAAUUUUUAAAAAAUAGCCUAUCAAGGAGUUUUCAAAACUUUUUAGGUGUAUAAACACCCUAUUUCGGAAACCACCGUAUUUUACACUUUCACUUCCCACCUACACCAGCUCAGUGACAAGAAAGUGUCUGAAACAAGGUGCAAAAUCAAGGUUCUCAGAAACACGCUUGGGACGUCUUGUUCCGCAGCUUGGCUGCUCUUUCCGCCCGGAGUGUCCUUAGCCUGUGCCCCUUUCGAACUCCGGCACUUUGUCUGCGGAGUAGCUCCAGCGCAGUCUCCCAGCGUUACCUGGCAGCCUCCUCCUUCCUGGAGCAGGAGAAGCGGCUCUGUCUCCUGUGUUCCAUCAUCGAUUAUGGCUGCUCUCACACUGGGUUAGGAAGGUUUGGUCACCUGAGUGCCUCCCUCCUCUGUGCUGUUGGACUCUAUGGUUUACAUACUCCUAGAUGCUAUUUUUUACAUACUCCUAAGUUUUCAACCUGAGAAAUCUGAAACCAUCCCCUAACCUUACCUGGUUACCUGUUGAAAAAUGUGUUAUCCCAGAGGUAGAUUCUUUGGGUCCUAGGCAUCUGGACUUGCAAGAGUCUCAUGUCAGUUUCAUGUGCUUACAAAGGUGAUAACAGAGAGGGACAUAGCUGUGAGUUUUUCCCAACGGCCAGUGAGUGCUUCGUUCCCUGUAUCAUGUUUUAUUUAUUUAUCUAUCCCCAGGGCUAGUGCAGUUUGGACAUAGGGUGCUAUGGGUUGAAUUACAUACUUGUCAAAUCCAUAUGUUGAAAUCUUAACCCCUAGUACCUCAGAAUGUGACAUUAUUUGGAGAGAGGGUAUUUAUAGAGGUAAUUAGGGGAAAAGGAGGUCUUUAGGGUGGGUCCUAAUUCAAUAUGACCGAUGUCCUUAUAUAGAGGGAAAAUCUGGACACAGAGCUGUAUACAUCCAGGGAGAACGUCAUCUGGAGAUGAAAGCAGAGAUCAGAGUGAUGCAGCUCCAAGACAUGGAAUGCUGAAGAUGGUGAGCAACCCACCAGAAGCCAGGAGAGAGCUGAAGAAAUGGAGGUGCUACUGGCUCAAGGAACCUGGAUUCAUUUAGAGAGUGUGCCCAGGAUGAGACGUGUGGAGAGCCUGGCCUGAACCAACACUAACAGUCUCCUGGACAGGAGAUAAGAAAAUGGAGGUCACGAGCUGGAGAACUCCUUGCUCAAGUUGCAUAGCUAAUAAGGGACUUAGCUGGGAUUCCUGGCCAGCAAUGUGGCUCCAGGCCUGGUUUCUAACUUCCCCUUCUUGGCAACCACCUUCACAGAGGAAUGCAAGAGGUGAGUGGAUUUGAUGUGAUAUUUUAUAUCAUGCCUAUUUCUAUCCACUUUCUCUGGAGUCCACUAAGAUUAAAGAAGGAGAGAAAUUCUCUAGUUCUACAGGAAGUGCGGGCUGUUUCCAGUGGGUCCUUGAAGUCCUUUGUCUGUUUCCAGUUUUUCCUUCAGGUCUUUUGAGCCCAGCUUCCCUCUGGCCAGCUCAGGCUCAGGGAGACGGGCAUACACCGGUGGCCUGGGUGACAGUGUGCAGCUGAUGAGCCACAGGACUUGGGCAGGCCAUAGUGGGUCAGGAGAGACUGGACGCUUCGUCUUUUAUGCUUCUGGGAUUUCUGUUGUGGCUUCUGUUUUCACCGCAUUUCAAAUCCUUUAAGUUAGGUCAUAUGGGGAAAAUGCUUGUGCUUCUCAUUUAUCUCCCUGGAGGCUAGCCUGGAUCUCUGAUGAGGAGGAGCACCAGGCCACUCCAUAACCACCGGGCUGCAGGAUCUCCAGGGCCACCCAGGAAGCCAAAAUCAGAACAGAGCUCCUUGCUGUGGGGGCUUUGCUCACCCUAGUUCUGGGAGCCAGCCAGCUCUAUCUUGGGGAUAUAACUUUCCAGGGACAAGAGAUGCCUGAUUUUGUGCAGACACCUGUGUCAUGGAGAGUAUUUCUUAUGUUCCAAGCAGAGAAGUUCAAAUUUACCAGUCUUCCUGUCACUCCACCCCCAAAAUCUGGCGACCCCACUCAGCUGUUUUUCAGGGCCCACCCUCAUGGCACCUUCUGGGGACUCCCUCUUUGCUACUGAGGUUGAGACCUAGCACUAGGUUUUGUGCUAGAAGCGCCUUGGGGGCAGAAACCCCCAUAUGCCAGCUGCCCAGGUCAGGACUGCAUGUUUUCCUACUCACCGCC
rnacentral:lncRNA from 1 species